GGGGGGGGGGGGCGGCCGAUCAGGCAGCUGCUCCUGGAGGAGGGGGCGCGGGUCGGGGUACGGGGUGGGGGUGGGGGGUCCAGCAGUCAGGAAUGCCCAGUGCCCUGCCCCCGCCGUGAACUGUGGCACUGUGGCGGGACUCUCCCCUUCACCGCGGUGACAGCCAACAGGUGGCGGUGGUGGCGGGGUGGGGACUGCGCCUUGCCGGUUCAUCCGCUCUUCCCCCCUCACGACCACCAGCAGGUGCAACCGACGGGCGCUGAGUGUGGCCGUGGCGCGGCCCUGGGCCACCUGCUGGUGCAGAUGAGGGCCUCGUGCGGGGAUGUGUCGGGGUGGUGCUGCUUUUGCCGGGCAGUGAGUGGUCCCAGCAGCUCAAUCCGUGGGUGUGGAGGCCUGAGGUCCCUGGGCGGGGCCCCGCAGCUCCGCCCACCCGCAGGCUCCGGCUCUGCCUGUCUGUUUGCAGGACUCUAGGAGCUGGUUUUGCAGUAGGAAAUGACAGUGACAACCUCUACAUUCCCGAGACAGUAGCUCGCCGACGUGGUUAACCCACCAGCAGCUAGCAACUGCUUUUUCUCAGACAUCAGUGGUUUUAAUUUUGCAGCUCAUGGCUUUUUAAUUUGACGUAAGGGACGUCUGCCAAGCUCUGCAGUAAAUAAACAAGCACGCGGCUUCAGAGCUGCGUCCCCUCUCGGACCGGUCCUUUGGCCACGUGAGCAGCGCGCAUCUCCUCCUCUGCUGCUGGGCUCCGUGUGCGACCUCAGCCUGAGCCCCUGGGCCUUCAACCAGUGCACAGCAGCCUCGCUGGGCGCCGCCGUCUGCAGGGCCUUCAUCCAGCGCACAGCAGCCUCGCUGGGCGCCGCCGUCUGCAGGACCGAGCCCCGGGACGCGGCCUGCAGGCCCCCUGCUCUGGGCCUCGCCGUCCCUGUCUGUGAAAUGGAGCGGCCACGGGAGGGCAGUGCUGAGCCGCGCUGCUGGGCUCUGGGCGCUGAGGGGAGCAAGCGGAGGCUCUGGCCCAAGCUCUGGACCCAGUGGGGCCCUGACUCCCCUGGAAGGCGCCUGGGGACUGGGAGUGCACUCCUAAACCUGGUGACUGCACUGGGAAAAUGGCUGCUCUCAGCCAUGGGACACUGGGUCUGUCAGUCACUGCCAUAGGGGCAGGACACUGGGUGUCUGUCAGUCACUGCCAUAGGGGCGGGACACUGGGUCUGUCAGUCACUGCCAUAGGGGCGGGAUGCGGGUGUCCGUCAGUCACUGCCAUAGGGGCGAGAUGCGGGUGUCUGUCAGUCACUGCCAUAGGGGCGGGACACUGGGUCUGUCAGUCACUGCCAUAGGGACGGGAUGCGGGUGUCUGUCAGUCACUGCCAUGGGGGCGGGACACUGGGUGUCACCCUGCCAUGGGGGCGGGACACUGGGUGUCUGUCACUCCGGGAUAGGGGCGGGACGUUUUUCCAAGCUGGCGUUCUGAAAGGACAGCUGGGACCUGGGACCCAUCUCCAGGACCUGACCAAGGACAGGCGUGGCUGAAGUGACUGGACCAAGCGCGGUGGGUCAUGUUCUGAGCGCCACAGCGCCGCCGCAGUGAGCCGCCCAGCGGGGCGAGGUAGGAAAGUCAGGUAAGAAGGACCCCGGCCCCAGAGCCGACUCCCUGCCCUCCGUCAGGUAAGAUGGCGUUGACGUCAUCGGCUCUGUGACUGGUUUUCCAGAAUCUCAGCAUGUAGUAACACAGAACACCAGUAGGGCCCAGCGUGGACUCCGCUGGCCCCACGUGGCCAGGGGCCAGGCCUCCCGGGAUGGGUCGGCGCUCUAGCAAGGGGCCACGCCGCUGUGGGCGCUGUCCGUGGCUAGGGGCCGGGUUAGGGCGUGCGGGUGACGGUCGCGUGCCGGCUCUCGUCUGCUACCAACUGCCGCGUGCGGCUAGGGGGCCAGAGGCCCGGCUCCCACUGCCCUGGGGCAGCCCUGCACGUCUGUGCGUCUUGUCUCGUGACUUGACCUUCCUCUAGGAGACGAAAGCGUGUGUGGGGCGAGAACCUGAGGCUCGCGGGCCUUGCACGCCACCCCUCACCCCCUCCCCAGACCCUGACACUCCAGAGUGCAGAGCAGGAGGUGACAGACACAGGGCCGGCGGGCAGGUCCGGAGCAGGGACUCGCCGUGCGCCUGCAUGGCCAUCGUGGCGGCUGGCUCCGGGAGUUCAGACUCCUGCGGAACACAGCGCAGAGCCACACCGCUUCUGGUCUGCAGCCACAGCUUCCCAGGCGCCAGUGAGCUCCUGAGACAGGAGGGCGCCGCCUGUCUGUCUCCUUUAAGGCAAAGCCAAGUGCAGAGGACGCUGCCCACGGGAGCCCUGCCCGUGCUCAUCACGCCCUGCCCACGGUGUGGGGGGAGCCCAUCCCCCGUUACUACCCGCAGGCCUAAGAGCCCUCACCUGUCUCUGAGCCUAGAGAGAUCGGGGACCGGGUAGAGACCUGGUUCUCAAGCGAGCAGGGGCGCGGCUAGAUGCCAUGUGCGCGGGGAGGAGUUAGUGCGGGUUUCGGGGAAACUGAGUCCUGUUUCACAAAGCAGUGCCGGGCAACGGGCUAGUGGCAAAGGCAAUGGAUGUGAAGACGAACGCGAUGGUUGCCUUCCCGCGGCUUCUCAAGUGGUGCUUUACUGCCCGUCCAGAAGUCCUUGUUUCGCUGCGGUUUUAGUAAUUGUGAUGCAGACUGGACUGAUAGAGAGGAGGCCCCUGACGUGCUGUGGGGAAAGGAGAGGUGAAGAGCGUGCACGCGGCCACUUGGGUGUUGGUGCAUAAAGCCAGGCUAAAGACGUGCGCGUCACAGUGUGGGCCGCGGCUCCCCUGAGGGCCGUCCCUCUCGCCACCACGGCUGCCACCUUACUGGAUUACUCUGUUUCUAGUGCCUUCCUAAACGGUGUGGAACUGUCAUUUUAGAAAUCGCAGUUUUCCCAACCUUCCCUUCUCCCAGACUCGCCGCUCCAAGUAGACAGCGCCGUGGCUGCAAGGCCUCGCCCCACCUACGGGACCCCGGGCCAGCGUGGCCCCCGCCCCCGCCUCCUCUGGUUUCUGACUCCUCCUCGCCUGGGCUGUCGCUCACUCUGCCUGCAGCCCACUCCCGGCUUACAGAGCCGCUGACCCGACUUGUUCUGUGUGUCCCCGCAGCCUGAGCCACGGAUCUCUGCAGGCAGCUGGGAAACGGAGCGGUGUGGGCUCAGAGCUAGUGAGCGCCGUGGUGAAGCCCUUCAUCCCAGCUCACCACACGCACGUCCCAGAGCAAGCAAACAAAAGGCUCUUUUCCCCUAGAGAGCCUGCGUUCAGCUGGCCACCUCCUGGGUGACCGACCCCUCCCGGGGGCCCCACCUGUCACAGUGACCGACCCCUCCCGGGGGGCCCCACCUGUCACAGUGACCGACCCCUCCCGGGGGGUCCCACCUGUCACAGUGACCGACCCCUCCCGGGGGGCCCCACCUGUCACAGUGACCGACCCCUCCCGGGGGGUCCCACCUGUCACAGUGACCGACCCCUCCCGGGGGGCCCCACCUAUCACAGUGACCGACCCCUCCCGGGGGACCCCACCUGUCACAGUGACCGACCCUUCCCGGGGGCCCCACCUAUCACAGGUGACCCGGGCAGAGGCUCAGGUUCCAGACAGGACGGAGGGGAGGAAGCAAGGCCACAUGGCCGGCCCACUCGCAUUCUCAGCAAGGACGGCUGUGUGCAGGCCCCCCCACCAGCAACUGUGCAGUGGCCUGGAGCUCCCCUGGGCCGUGAGAGGCCCCCUAACCCCCUCCCUCCCCCUCUAGUUUCUCUCCCCGCAUGGGAAAUGACAAACCUUGUUUCUAGAAGGCUUGAGCAUAUUAACACCCAUUUCCCAUAAACCAAACACAGGCCUUUAAAAUGAGCUGCCAUCUCCCUCUGAUGCACCUGCUGUGUCUCCCGGGCACGUCCCCCAGACUGGACCAAGCGGCCCUUGUGCUGCACAGUGAGCAGGAUUACAGUCGGAAGAGUCAGGCAGAGAUAGAAGGCGUCCAGCAGUCCGGGUCUGCCCACGGAGUGACAGGCCGUGUUACCCGGCCGCUCCAUCUGAUAAACUAACCUGUGGUACAA